UCCUCUUCACAGGCCUUUUGGCUUAGAUCAAGUGUAGUAUCUGUUCUUUUCAGUUUAAUCUCUGAAACGUGGCUACGGCCACUUCAACGAUUAUACUCAUUUUUGGCCCUCGACGGGCGGCCGCUGGGCUUGCCUAUGCCGUCUGUCACCGUGUCGCUGGCAUCGCACUAUCUCCAGCUGACGCGAACUCUC
rnacentral:snRNA from 1 species